rnacentral:misc_RNA from 1 species
CGCACCUUGCGCUCCUUGGUAUUCCGAGGAGCAUGCCUGUUUGAGUGUCAUGGUAUUCUCAAUUCCUUUGUUCUUGUUCGAACAAAGUGAUAUUGGACUUGGAGGCAUUUUGCUGGCGAUAACAAGUCAGCUCCUCUCAAAACUAUCAGCGUGAAGGGUCACCUUAUGCUCAGUGUGAUAAUUAUCUGCAUUGCGCUCGGUGCUACUUUUUCAGGCUUCGAAUCGUCUUCGGACAAUUUUAUUGACAUCUGACCUCAAAUCAGGUAGGACUACCCGCUGAACUUAA